AUGCCCGUUUUCACCAACGAAUACCUAAAUUUAGGGAGCAUUUACGGAACACUUAAUAAGAAUUUCAUUUUCACCAAAGCCUAGGUGUCAAAUUAUAACCUUAAAAUUUGACUUCAACUUGGGGGCCCGAUUGAUGCCUGCUUAAACAACCCCUAUCAUUAUCAUUACAGAAUACAAACAUAUUUUGAACCGUGGAUAGUGAAAUGUACCUUUAUAUGUUAUGUAACACCAAAAAUACCAUGUUUAAAAAGCAAAAAAAUACAAAAAAAAAAUGAUACGUAAACUUUUAGAAAGUUUAGAAGCUGUGGAGGUUGUGGAUAUGUAAAAUAAUAAUCAUUAGAAGACCACGUACCUAUCUUACGUGAAAGAGCAGAUGACUGAGAAAUAAGUACGAUGUUCAUGACUUUUUUAUAAGACUAGCCGUUUUCCCGCGGUUUCACCCGCGUCCCGUGGGAGCUACUGCCCGCACCGGGAUAAAAUAUAGCCUAUGUUACUCGCAGAUAAUAUAGCUUUCUAAUGGUGAAAGAAUAUUUAAAAUCGGUCCAGUAGUUUUUGAGUUUAUCCAUUACAACCAAACAAACAAACAUUUUCCUCUUUAUAAUAUUAGUAUAGAUAUAGAUUAUAGGUUAUCACUUGCUAUGAAUGCACUUGCUAGGUCGUGAUGUCGCUGAAUUAUUCAAAAAUAGGUAGUCCUGCAUGUCCAUAAAUAUACAGACCAUAAUAGAUGCAAAUCUGGUAAUCACUGAUGUAGUUUCGCGGUGGCCGGGACAUCUAUAGGCCUAUUCAGACCUAAGCGGUAUUCGCUACCACCUGCGACAGAGAAAACCCAGUGGGUAUGCGAUAAUAUUACUGUUGAUGUUCGGGACGUAUGCCGCUGCUGCCGCGCGGUAUGUACUUCUACCCACAGCGGCAGUGAAUAUCGCUCAGGUUUGAAUUGGCCUUAAAUACCAAAACUGCAGUAGAUACCAAUGAUUCGAAAAUGGUGAAUAUGGAGGAGCCUAUCUCCUAGGUGAUAGGGGAUACCCUCUGGAGGUAAGAAGUAGGCUAAUAUUGAACAUAAUAAAAUAUAUAAAUUAAAACAAAGAUAGUAAACAAAUAUUUUAAUAUUAGUCCUCAUAUGAUGUACCAAACAUUAUCAUCAUCCUCCUGCACCAAUUCAAUUUGAGGUGGGCUGGGCGCAGCAUGUUUUUACACGUCUUUCCAAUUUCUCGCACCACCUGAAACUAAAUAAAUAUAAUAAAUGUAUAAUUUUAACCCCAUACUUAAAUCCAUCAACUCAUGGAGAACAAAAAUACAAUGAAGUCGACAGUAAAACAAGGAACACAGUUGAACGGCAAUAUCUUAUAUUAUUAUACACAGAUAUUAUUCACAUUUACCUGUAAACGGUUCCUAUCGCAUUAAAACUAUUUGUAACUGGA